AUUGAACGCUGGCGGCGUGCCUAACACAUGCAAGUCGAGCGGCAGCGCGGGAGCAAUCCUGGCGGCGAGCGGCGGACGGGUGAGUAACGCUUGGGAAUCUGCCUGUUAGUGGGGGACAACCCGGGGAAACUCGGGCUAAUACCGCAUACGCACUACGGUGGAAAGCCGGGGACCGCAAGGCCUGGCGCUAACAGAUGAGCCCAAGUCGGAUUAGCUAGUUGGUAGGGUAACGGCCUACCAAGGCGACGAUCCGUAACUGGUCUGAGAGGACGACCAGUCGCACCGGAACUGAGGCACGGUCCGGACUCCUACGGGAGGCAGCAGUGGGGAAUAUUGGACAAUGGGGGAAACCCUGAUCCAGCGACGCCGCGUGGGUGAAGAAGGCCUGCGGGUUGUAAAGCCCUUUCAGUGGGGAAGAAAAGCCUCGAGUCAACACCUCGGGGUCUUGACGUAACCCAUAGAAGAAGCACCGGCUAACUCUGUGCCAGCCGCCGCGGUAAGAC
rnacentral:rRNA from 1 species